rnacentral:lncRNA from 1 species
AGCCCCCUCCUGUGAGCUCUGGGAGCUACAGAAUAAGGACACUCCUUGGCCCCAAGCCAGCCCCAGCUUGCUCGGGAGCCUGGGUUUCCCCCUCCGUCCCCAUCACCGCGAGGGUCUGUGCAUGGGAAUCUGCUCCAGAGGCUCCCUCAGGCGCCGCGCCGCGGGGAUACGCCUUUCACCGCCCCAGCAAUUGGAGCGCUGAGUCGAAGUCCUGAUUCCACGAUAGGCGGAUGAAGCCCUAACGCUGAAAUUCUUUCCUCUAGGUCUUUGGCAGCGGCUGGGGCCAAAGCCCGGGCAAGACCAACGCCUUCGGCACCCGGACUCAGGCUCCGUCCUCUCUGCCAGCGUGCGGCUACAAUGACUCGACAUGGCAGGCCACUGCCUUCAGAGAAGGUGACAGAGGGCCAUGUCUGAAACAUUCUCCCACAACCAGGAACCCUCAGCAGCCGCUGAAGAGGAAAGGCAGUUAAAUGGAAAGACUUCUGAGCAAGUGGAGGAAAAGUCACGUGUGACCUAGGGAGGGGCUCCCACAGGAAGGGGCAAUGCCCUUGCCCUGUUCACCUAGCCUCCAGGUGGCUUCCCACUUGAAAUUUCAGAGGAUGGCAGAAACCUACUUACAAGGAAAUGAAAGAGGGCACAGCAACCUUAAGACCAGAGCAGCCCACGAUAUUUUUUAAUGAGGGCAAAAAUAGAAGACUUGCAAAAGACCCCUGAAAAUAAUGCCUGGAAGCUGCGAAACAUCAGACUGACACCGCACAAAAGAGGUCCAGCUGAGCAGGAGAAAAGCUUGAGAAGCAUCCAGAACAAUGUAGGUGGAGAGGCUAAGAAGAAAGAGGAGCCCACAUGGAAUGAAUAACCAAGGUCGGGACAGAGGAAGGUUCGCCAGAACUGGGAGGGCUGAAAUUGGACAUUGAGAUAAAUUAAAGAGUGUUCUUUAAAACUGUCAAGACUUUGGCUGGUCAAUAAGUAAACUGCAAACGAGUGUUCCUAAACCACAGCAGCAAUGCUCCCUGGAGGAGGGAAGGAGGCCGGGGC